rnacentral:rRNA from 1 species
AGUGAACGCUGGCGGUAGGCCUAACACAUGCAAGUCGAACGGCAGCACAGUAAGAGCUUGCUCUUACGGGUGGCGAGUGGCGGACGGGUGAGGAAUACAUCGGAAUCUACUUUUUCGUGGGGGAUAACGUAGGGAAACUUACGGUAAUACCGCUUACGACCUACGGGGGAAAGCAGGGGAUCUUCGGACCUUGCGCGAUUGAAUGAGCCGAUGUCGGAUUAGCUAGUUGGCGGGGUAAAGGCCCACCAAGGCGACGAUCCGUAGCUGGUCUGAGAGGAUGAUCAGCCACACUGGAACUGAGACACGGUCCAGACUCCUACGGGAGGCAGCAGUGGGGAAUAUUGGACAAUGGGCGCAAGCCUGAUCCAGCCAUACCGCGUGGGUGAAGAAGGCCUUCGGGUUGUAAAGCCCUUUUGUUGGGAAAGAAAAGCAGCAGGUUAAUACCCCGCUGUUCUGACGGUACCCAAAGAAUAAGCACCGGCUAACUUCGUG